rnacentral:rRNA from 1 species
UACGGAGGGUGCAAGCGUUAAUCGGAAUUACUGGGCGUAAAGCGUGCGCAGGCGGUUUGUUAAGUCUGCUGUGAAAACUCGAGGCUCAACCUCGAGACGUCGGCGGAAACCAUCUGGCUAGAGUCCGGAAGAGGAGAGUGGAAUUCCUGGUGUAGCGGUGAAAUGCGCAGAUAUCAGGAAGAACACCCGUGGCGAAGGCGGCUCUCUGGGACGGUACUGACGCUGAGACGCGAAAGCGUGGGGAGCGAACAGG